UAGAUACCCUGGUAGUCCACGCUGUAAACGAUGUCGAUUUGAAGGUUGUUCCCUUGAGGAGUGGCUUUCGGAGCUAACGCGUUAAAUCGACCGCCUGGGGAGUACGGCCGCAAGGUUAAAACUCAAAUGAAUUGACGGGGGCCCGCACAAGCGGUGGAGCAUGUGGUUUAAUUCGAUGCAACGCGAAGAACCUUACCUAUCUUGACAUCCAGAGAAUUUAGCAGAGAUGCUUUAGUGCCUUCGGGAACUC
rnacentral:rRNA from 1 species